rnacentral:misc_RNA from 1 species
AACGCACAUUGCGCCCUUUGGUAUUCCGAAGGGCAUGCCUGUUCGAGCGUCAUUAUCACCCCUCAAGCCCCUGGCUUGGUGUUGGACGGUUUGGUGGAGGCCCCCUCGGGGGCUCCUGCCCCUCCCAAAGACAAUGACGGCGGCCUCGUUGGACCCCCGGUACACUGAGUUCUUCACGGGACACGUAUCGGACACAUGGGUUUACGGGACACGGUCUGCCUCCCCUCAGGGAGAAUCUUUCUAAGGUUGACCUCGGAUCAGGUAGGGAUACCCGCUGAACUUAA